CUGCUCAAAGAAGAUGAGUUGAUCUCCUACAUCCUCUCUGGUCUUGAUCAAGAAUACAAUCCACUCUCGACGUCGAUCACAACUAGAGUGGAACCAAUCUUGCUUGCUGACUUUUAUGCGCACCUUCUCACCUUUGAGA